CUCUACUAAAAAUACCAAAUUAGCUGGGCAUGGUGGCAUAUGCCUGUAAUCCCAGCUACUCAGGAAGCUGAGGCAGGAGAAUUUCUUGAACCCAGAAGGCAGUGGUUGUGGUGAGCCAAGAUUGCACCAUUGCACUCCAGCCUGGGCAACAAGAGCAAAACAUCUCAAAAAAAAAAUCCUAUUGUAAGUCUUUUUGUAAAACCAAAAAAUUAGCAUAUAUUAUAUUCCAUGCUAUUUGGGAAUAGAUAUAAAAUAUCUAUUUGUCAUUUGAGAAGAGCUAUAGAUCUUUAUCCAUCUAUCUUUAUAUAUAGAUAGAUAUCCAGAUAUGGAUAUACAUAUUGUUAGUUUUCAGAUCAGGUAAAAAAAUAACAGAUCCUACAGAUAUAUAUUAUGUUUCAUAAUGUUCAAACUAUUCCCAACUGUCAUGAAAUAUAAUGUAGAAUCUGAUUUUAUUAUUCUACUUGCAAACCUGUCACAUUUUUCAGAUGCUAGAGAAAAAUGGGAGACUCUUGGGACAGAUGCAAAAGUGAUGCAAAAAGGACAGGUGAUGCCUGUGCAUGCAGCAAGUCACAUUACAGAAGAAAAGUCCUGAGUUUAAGAAACCCUGAUCUUUUGUAAUGGGCGUGGCCUCAGGAGAAAGGAAUGAGGAUCCACCUGGUGCAAGGAAUAAACCUGGACUCUCAGCAAUGAGGGGAGAAAAGGCUUGCAACCCUGCAGUGACUGGGAAACUCUGUUCACAGACCAAGGUAAGAAAUGUCAUGGGAGUGACCAAGUAUUUCCUUGGUGGUUACUCCAAAUGUUUUAUAAAGGCUGAGACUAGUCAGCCAAGAUUCUAACGUUACUAAGAAGAAAAGAAGUUUAUUGAUGGCUAUCAAGUAGCUUACAGGCUCAUCAUGAGGGUUGGAGAAUUGAUAUGAGAUACUCACCCCAGGAGCAAUGUCAAAAGUUAGGCUGUAGUACUGGCCCAGUGAGAAUACCAUUGCUAAACAUUAAAUGCUGUGGCUUGUACCUCAAAUAACAUUAACACCUCUUGCUGGAUCCCACCCUUAACAUCACUCCUUCUGUCCCAGGAUUCAGUCCAUCUGUGACUACUGCUAUUGUCAGUAAGUCUCUGAGGCAUGUGGUUAUGACUGAGGAAACUUAGUUCAUUUGCCUGUACUUCAGCUGCAGAGAAUCCCUGAGCAAUAGUAUCUAGCACUUUCCACUGCUGCCUUCCAUGAAGAUCAUAAGAUAGAACAUUCCACAGAGAAGGUAUUCAAGUAUUAGAUGGCCUAAACUAAUGACACUACUAUAAUACUCACUUGAAACUGACUGGAAAUACUAUAUAGCACUGAGUCAAUUAGUAAACAUUUAUUAUUGAAUGAUAUUAUAUAAAACAAAUUAGAAUUAUUUAAGAAAUGAGUAAUGACUCAAAAGAUUUAUAAGAGCCAGACAGGUAAGAUAGAGUAAUGAGAUAGAACAGGUUCAAAAUAAAAAUUGAGAGUGCUGGUGACA
rnacentral:lncRNA from 13 species